AUCCUCUGUGUUUCAAUGGCGUGUUGACUGGGCAUUCACACUACUUUGUAGUUCACGCCUCCUUCAAGCCUUUGUUAUGGCAUUGACAUAUUAACCAUUUAACA
rnacentral:snoRNA from 1 species